UUAAGCGACUAAGCGUACACGGUGGAUGCCCUGGCAGUCAGAGGCGAUGAAGGACGUGCUAAUCUGCGAUAAGCGUCGGUAAGGUGAUAUGAACCGUUAUAACCGGCGAUUUCCGAAUGGGGAAACCCAGUGUGAUUCGUCACACUAUCAUUAACUGAAUCCAUAGGUUAAUGAGGCGAACCGGGGGAACUGAAACAUCUAAGUACCCCGAGGAAAAGAAAUCAACCGAGAUUCCCCCAGUAGCGGCGAGCGAACGGGGAGCAGCCCAGAGCCUGAAUCAGUGUGUGUGUUAGUGGAAGCGUCUGGAAAGGCGCGCGAUACAGGGUGACAGCCCCGUACACAAAAAUGCACAUACUGUGAGCUCGAUGAGUAGGGCGGGACACGUGGUAUCCUGUCUGAAUAUGGGGGGACCAUCCUCCAAGGCUAAAUACUCCUGACUGACCGAUAGUGAACCAGUACCGUGAGGGAAAGGCGAAAAGAACCCCGGCGAGGGGAGUGAAAAAGAACCUGAAACCGUGUACGUACAAGCAGUGGGAGCACAGAGCAAUCUGUGUGACUGCGUACCUUUUGUAUAAUGGGUCAGCGACUUAUAUUCUGUAGCAAGGUUAACCGAAUAGGGGAGCCGAAGGGAAACCGAGUCUUAACUGGGCGUUAAGUUGCAGGGUAUAGACCCGAAACCCGGUGAUCUAGCCAUGGGCAGGUUGAAGGUUGGGUAACACUAACUGGAGGACCGAACCGACUAAUGUUGAAAAAUUAGCGGAUGACUUGUGGCUGGGGGUGAAAGGCCAAUCAAACCGGGAGAUAGCUGGUUCUCCCCGAAAGCUAUUUAGGUAGCGCCUCGUGAAUUCAUCUCCGGGGGUAGAGCACUGUUUCGGCAAGGGGGUCAUCCCGACUUACCAACCCGAUGCAAACUGCGAAUACCGGAGAAUGUUAUCACGGGAGACACACGGCGGGUGCUAACGUCCGUCGUGAAGAGGGAAACAACCCAGACCGCCAGCUAAGGUCCCAAAGUCAUGGUUAAGUGGGAAACGAUGUGGGAAGGCCCAGACAGCCAGGAUGUUGGCUUAGAAGCAGCCAUCAUUUAAAGAAAGCGUAAUAGCUCACUGGUCGAGUCGGCCUGCGCGGAAGAUGUAACGGGGCUAAACCAUGCACCGAAGCUGCGGCAGCGACGCUUAUGCGUUGUUGGGUAGGGGAGCGUUCUGUAAGCCUGCGAAGGUGUGCUGUGAGGCAUGCUGGAGGUAUCAGAAGUGCGAAUGCUGACAUAAGUAACGAUAAAGCGGGUGAAAAGCCCGCUCGCCGGAAGACCAAGGGUUCCUGUCCAACGUUAAUCGGGGCAGGGUGAGUCGACCCCUAAGGCGAGGCCGAAAGGCGUAGUCGAUGGGAAACAGGUUAAUAUUCCUGUACUUGGUGUUACUGCGAAGGGGGGACGGAGAAGGCUAUGUUGGCCGGGCGACGGUUGUCCCGGUUUAAGCGUGUAGGCUGGUUUUCCAGGCAAAUCCGGAAAAUCAAGGCUGAGGCGUGAUGACGAGGCACUACGGUGCUGAAGCAACAAAUGCCCUGCUUCCAGGAAAAGCCUCUAAGCAUCAGGUAACAUCAAAUCGUACCCCAAACCGACACAGGUGGUCAGGUAGAGAAUACCAAGGCGCUUGAGAGAACUCGGGUGAAGGAACUAGGCAAAAUGGUGCCGUAACUUCGGGAGAAGGCACGCUGAUAUGUAGGUGAAGUCCCUCGCGGAUGGAGCUGAAAUCAGUCGAAGAUACCAGCUGGCUGCAACUGUUUAUUAAAAACACAGCACUGUGCAAACACGAAAGUGGACGUAUACGGUGUGACGCCUGCCCGGUGCCGGAAGGUUAAUUGAUGGGGUCAGCGCAAGCGAAGCUCUUGAUCGAAGCCCCGGUAAACGGCGGCCGUAACUAUAACGGUCCUAAGGUAGCGAAAUUCCUUGUCGGGUAAGUUCCGACCUGCACGAAUGGCGUAAUGAUGGCCAGGCUGUCUCCACCCGAGACUCAGUGAAAUUGAACUCGCUGUGAAGAUGCAGUGUACCCGCGGCAAGACGGAAAGACCCCGUGAACCUUUACUAUAGCUUGACACUGAACAUUGAGCCUUGAUGUGUAGGAUAGGUGGGAGGCUUUGAAGUGUGGACGCCAGUCUGCAUGGAGCCGACCUUGAAAUACCACCCUUUAAUGUUUGAUGUUCUAACGUUGACCCGUAAUCCGGGUUGCGGACAGUGUCUGGUGGGUAGUUUGACUGGGGCGGUCUCCUCCUAAAGAGUAACGGAGGAGCACGAAGGUUGGCUAAUCCUGGUCGGACAUCAGGAGGUUAGUGCAAUGGCAUAAGCCAGCUUGACUGCGAGCGUGACGGCGCGAGCAGGUGCGAAAGCAGGUCAUAGUGAUCCGGUGGUUCUGAAUGGAAGGGCCAUCGCUCAACGGAUAAAAGGUACUCCGGGGAUAACAGGCUGAUACCGCCCAAGAGUUCAUAUCGACGGCGGUGUUUGGCACCUCGAUGUCGGCUCAUCACAUCCUGGGGCUGAAGUAGGUCCCAAGGGUAUGGCUGUUCGCCAUUUAAAGUGGUACGCGAGCUGGGUUUAGAACGUCGUGAGACAGUUCGGUCCCUAUCUGCCGUGGGCGCUGGAGAACUGAGGGGGGCUGCUCCUAGUACGAGAGGACCGGAGUGGACGCAUCACUGGUGUUCGGGUUGUCAUGCCAAUGGCACUGCCCGGUAGCUAAAUGCGGAAGAGAUAAGUGCUGAAAGCAUCUAAGCACGAAACUUGCCCCGAGAUGAGUUCUCCCUGACUCCUUGAGAGUCCUGAAGGAACGUUGAAGACGACGACGUUGAUAGGCCGGGUGUGUAAGCGCAGCGAUGCGUUGAGCUAACCGGUACUAAUGAACCGUGAGGCUUAACCUU
rnacentral:rRNA from 2 species